rnacentral:lncRNA from 8 species
GGAGUGAGUCAUGAAACUAAUGUGAAAAGGAAUUGUGUGUGUAUGUGCUGUGAAGACAGUUAGGCUGAGCUAUCACCCUGAUCAAUCUGACAGUGUGGGGCUCUCAGUAGAAAACAAGGCUGCAGGACCUCCAGGCCAGUUUAUAUCCUCUCUGCCUUAACUCACUACUCUUCCUGUCUCUCUCUCUCUCCUCAUCCCCUGUCUCUCUCUCUCUCUCCUCAUCCCCUGUCUCGCUCUCUCUCUCCUCAUCCCCUGUCUCUCUCUCUCUCUCCUCAUCCCCUGUCUCUCUCUCUCUCGCUCUCUCUCUCCUCAUCCCCUCUCUCUCUCCCCAUCCCGUCUCUCUCUCUCCUCAUCCCGUCUCUCUCUCUCUCUCUCCACAUCCCGUCUCUCUCUCCUUCAUCCCGUCUCUCUCUCUCUCUCUCUUUCUCGCUCUCCGCAUCCCGUCUCUCUCUCUAGCUCUCUCUCCUAUCCCGUCUCUCUCUCUCGCUCUCUCUCCUCAUCCCGUCUCUCUCUCGCUCUCUCUCUUCAUCCCGUCUCUCUCUCUCUCUCUCUCGCUCUCUCUCUCUCUCCUCAUCCCGUCUCUCUCUCUCUCUCUCCCAUCCCGUCUCUCUCUCUCUCUCUCCCAUCCCGUCUCUCUCUCUCUCUCCUCAUCCCGUCUCUCUCUCUCUCUCCCGCAUCCCGUCUCUCUCUCUCUCUCUCUCUCUCCUCAUCCCGUCUCUCUCUCUCUCCACAUCCCGUCUCUCUCUCUCUCUUUAUCCCGUCUCUCUCUCCUCAUCCCGUCUCUCUCUCUCUCCUCAUCACGUCUCUCUCUCUCCUCAUCCCGUCUCUCUCUCUCUCUCUCUCCUCAUCCCGUCUCUCUCUCUCUCUCUCUCCCCAUCCCGUGUCUCUCUCUCUCUCUCUCUCUCCUCAUCCCGUCUCUCUCUCUCUCUCCACAUCCCGUCUCUCUCUCUCUCUCUUUAUCCCGUCUCUCUCUCUCUCCUCAUCCCGUCUCUCUCUCUCUCUCUCUCCUCAUCCCCUCUCUCUCUCUCUCUCUCCAUCCCGUCUCUCUCUCUCUCUCUCCUCAUCCCGUCUCUCUCUCUCUCUCUCUCUCUCUCUCUCUCUCCUCAUCCCCUGUCUCUCUCUCCUCAUCCCCUCAUCCCCUGUCUCUCUCCCCAUCCCGUCUCUCUCUCUCUCUCUCUCUCUCUCUCUCUCUCCUCAUCCCGUCUCUCUCUCUCUCUCUCUCUCUCUCUCUCUCUCCUCAUCCCCUGUCUCUCUCCUCAUCCCCUGUCUCUCUCUCUCUCUCUCUCUCUCUCUCUCUCCUCAUGCCCUGUCUCUCUCUCUCUAUAUCUCUCGAUGAAUCCGUAUCAUCGGUUAGUCUUCUUCACCACAAGCUCAUUUCCUCUAAGCAGUUGUCACCCCCCCAUGGGAUUCUUUAGGUGAUGGUGGUUUUCUAUCUGUUAGCUUGAACAGUUUCAGCAGCUGAUGUCAAGGCGGCCCUGCUGGGCGGAGAAGUGAGGGCUCGCUCAUCACAGCAGUGGAUUAUGUGACGGCGGCGUUCGUCGUUCGCGACGCCAUGUCCGACGUCACCAUGAUGAAUGUUUGAUUUGGAGGUGGGCUGGUAGGGAGC